GUGUUCACUUCAGCAGCAUGUAUACUUAAUUAUAACCAUACAGAGACUAUUAGCAUGAUCCCUAUGUAAGGGUGGCACACAAAUUCAUGUAGCAUUCAAUAUUAUU
rnacentral:snRNA from 1 species